ACUGAUAUGACAGAAUUUAUGUGAAAGAUUUAAGUUCUUUUAAUGGGCAACCUUUCAGUA
rnacentral:tRNA from 1 species